rnacentral:rRNA from 1 species
UACGUAGGGUGCGAGCGUUACUCGGAAUUACUGGGCGUAAAGCGUGCGCAGGCGGUUUUGUAAGCCAGAUGUGAAAUCCCCGGGUUUAACCUGGGAAUGGCAUUUGGGACUGCAAGGCUUGAGUUUGGCAGAGGAGACUGGAAUUCCUGGUGUAGCAGUGAAAUGCGUAGAUAUCAGGAGGAAUACCGAUGGCGAAGGCAGGUCUCUGGGCUAGAACUGACGCUCAUGCACGAAAGCGUGGGGAGCAAACAGG